GCAGGCAAUCAAUCACAAUACCAAACACCCAUUUACAAACACAAAGGGUUUAAAUACAACACUGGACUUUCUACAAAAUAGACCAGCUCGACGAAAUGGGAACUAUCCUACAACCGACUAGCAGGACACGCUCUCCAACCCUUAUGACUUCACCUCUGCAACUCCUCAAGGCCAACCAAAGCUAUCUGGCCACUCCGUCCAUCGGGGACCUGAAAUUUUAAUCCCACAACCGGGAUGAGACAAUGUCUCAGCAAGUUCAACCCCCUAAACCCCUAUUAGAAAGAAAAUACGCCCCGGGUGGCCUAGCCACAUCACACAGAAGACUUACCUCGCCUCAGCCUUCAUCUGCAGGUUAGCACAAUUUAUAUAAUCCAACCACGUACAAUUAUGAUAACCAAACAACCAUGUCACCAUCACAUUAUCCAGACAAUUCAACCACUUGGAUCGUCACAGCGAUCAAUCGACUCGGCCGAUUACAUGUCAUUCUAGCAAAUCAAUCAUUGCUCUCAACUACGGCCCUACUCGGCAAAUUUGAAUCAGUGGCAUCACGGCCCCACUCGGCGCGACCUUUAAUAGGUGGCAAUUCACGGCCCCAUUGGGCGCGACCUCUAAUAGGUGGCAUAUCACGGCCUCAUCGGGCACGACCUCUAAUAGGUGGUUUAUCACGGCCUCACUGGGCACGACCUCUCAUAGGUGGUUUAUCACGGCCUCACUGGGCACGACCUCUCAUAGGUGGUAUUUCACGGCCUCAUCGGGCACGACCUCUUGUAGGUGGUAUUUCACGGCCUCAUCGGGCACGACCCUUCCUAGGUGGUUAAUCACGGCCUCAUCGGGCACGACCUUUCCUAGGUGGUAUUUCACGGCCUCACUGGGCACGACCUCUAAUAGGUGGUCAAUCACAUCCAAUCUCCCAUCAAUUUCUACACUUAGGAUUUCAUAAAGAAUCCCUAUAGGGAGUCGAAUUAAUCAAUUCAUCACAACCAAUCAUCAAUAUCAAAUUCUAAAUACACAGCAACGAUCAGCACGAAAGUAUGGGAGAAUAAGGUUCCAGAAUAAUUUUCGGAAUUUAUUAAAUAAUUAAAUUUAUUCCAAAAUUAAUUAAAUAAUAAUAUUCAUACUUUUCAUGAUCCACGCUCAAUUUAUAAAAUCCAAUCAUCAAUUUCAAAAUCCGAAUGUACCAUAGCGACCGGCACGAAAUUCUAAGCAACCGGGGCCAAAAAUAAUUUUUCUGAUUUUUUUUUAAAUAAUAAUAUUUUAAUAAUUUCGGAUUAUAAUAUAAUAUAAUAUUUUCCAGAAUUUCGAAGCACUUAAAUAAUUCAAAACUAAAAAUCAUUUUGUGUCACAUCAAGGCUUAACUUUAAAUAAACUCUCUUAGCAUUUAAUUAAACAUACUUUAGAUUAAACAAACAUCUUAAUCUAAAUCAUAAUUAAAUCAACUAAAUUAACCACUUAAGCUUAAUCAACUUAAGCUAAGCACACCUAAAGCAUAAUUAACCCUUUAAGCGAGGUUUAGUGAGCUAAACUCACCGGAUUAGCGAGCCGAGCGGACCAAAACGACGGGGACGACGCGAGGAUCGACUUUCCUCAAAGCGGGCCGAGCAUCCGG
rnacentral:lncRNA from 1 species